GACGAGGGAUCCUAGCGUUGUUCGGAAUCACUGGGCGUAAAGCGUUUGUAGGCGGCUCUAUAAGUCGGGUGUGAAAUCCCACGGCUCAACCGUGGAAGUGCAUUCGAAACUGCAGAGCUUGAAUAUGGUAGAGGAGAGUAGAAUUCCUGGUGUAGUGGUGAAAUACGUAGAUAUCAGGAGGAAUACCGGUGGCGAAGGCGGCUCUCUGGACCAAUAUUGACGCUGAGAAACGAAAGUGCGGGGAUCAAACAGG
rnacentral:rRNA from 2 species